AGAUUAAGUUAUUAAGGGCGCACGGUGGAUGCCUUGGCACUAGAAGCCGAUGAAGGACGUUACUAACGACGAUAUGCUUUGGGGAGCUGUAAGUAAGCUUUGAUCCAGAGAUUUCCGAAUGGGGAAACCCAGCAUGAGUUAUGUCAUGUUAUCGAUAUGUGAAUACAUAGCAUAUCAGAAGGCACACCCGGAGAACUGAAACAUCUUAGUACCCGGAGGAAGAGAAAGAAAAUUCGAUUCCCUUAGUAGCGGCGAGCGAAACGGGAAGAGCCCAAACCAACAAGCUUGCUUGUUGGGGUUGUAGGACACUCUAUACGGAGUUACAAAGGACGACAUUAGACGAAUCAUCUGGAAAGAUGAAUCAAAGAAGGUAAUAAUCCUGUAGUCGAAAAUGUUGUCUCUCUUGAGUGGAUCCUGAGUACGACGGAGCACGUGAAAUUCCGUCGGAAUCUGGGAGGACCAUCUCCUAAGGCUAAAUACUCUCUAGUGACCGAUAGUGAACCAGUACCGUGAGGGAAAGGUGAAAAGCACCCCGGAAGGGGAGUGAAAUAGAACCUGAAACCGUGUGCUUACAAGUAGUCAGAGCCCGUUAAUGGGUGAUGGCGUGCCUUUUGUAGAAUGAACCGGCGAGUUACGAUUUGAUGCAAGGUUAAGCAGUAAAUGUGGAGCCGUAGCGAAAGCGAGUCUGAAUAGGGCGUUUAGUAUUUGGUCGUAGACCCGAAACCAGGUGAUCUACCCUUGGUCAGGUUGAAGUUCAGGUAACACUGAAUGGAGGACCGAACCGACUUACGUUGAAAAGUGAGCGGAUGAACUGAGGGUAGCGGAGAAAUUCCAAUCGAACCUGGAGAUAGCUGGUUCUCUCCGAAAUAGCUUUAGGGCUAGCCUCAAGUGAUGAUUAUUGGAGGUAGAGCACUGUUUGGACGAGGGGCCCCUCUCGGGUUACCGAAUUCAGACAAACUCCGAAUGCCAAUUAAUUUAACUUGGGAGUCAGAACAUGGGUGAUAAGGUCCGUGUUCGAAAGGGAAACAGCCCAGACCACCAGCUAAGGUCCCAAAAUAUAUGUUAAGUGGAAAAGGAUGUGGCGUUGCCCAGACAACUAGGAUGUUGGCUUAGAAGCAGCCAUCAUUUAAAGAGUGCGUAAUAGCUCACUAGUCGAGUGACACUGCGCCGAAAAUGUACCGGGGCUAAACAUAUUACCGAAGCUGUGGAUUGUCCUUUGGACAAUGGUAGGAGAGCGUUCUAAGGGCGUUGAAGCAUGAUCGUAAGGACAUGUGGAGCGCUUAGAAGUGAGAAUGCCGGUGUGAGUAGCGAAAGACGGGUGAGAAUCCCGUCCACCGAUUGACUAAGGUUUCCAGAGGAA
rnacentral:rRNA from 1 species